rnacentral:rRNA from 1 species
UGGGGAAUAUUGCACAAUGGGGGAAACCCUGAUGCAGCGACGCCGCGUGAACGAAGUAGGUAUUCGUAUCGUAAAGUUCUGUCCUAUGGGAAGAUAUUGACAGUACCAUAGAAGAAAGCUCCGGCUAAAUACGUGCCAGCAGCCGCGGUAAUACGUAUGGAGCGAGCGUUGUCCGGAAUUAUUGGGCGUAAAGGGUACGCAGGCGGUUUAAUAAGUCGAAUGUUAAAGAUCGGGGCUCAACCCCGCAAAGCAUUGGAAACUGAUAAACUUGAGUAGUGGAGAGGAAAGUGGAAUUCCUAGUGUAGUGGUGAAAUACGUAGAUAUUAGGAGGAAUACCAGUAGCGAAGGCGACUUUCUGGACACAAACUGACGCUGAGGUAUGAAAGCGUGGGUAGCAAGCAGG